rnacentral:rRNA from 1 species
UUUAGAGUUUGAUCCAUGGCUCAGAUUGAACGCUGGCGGCAUGCCUAACACAUGCAAGUCGAACGGUAACAGGCCUUCGGGCGCUGACGAGUGGCGGACGGGCGAGUAACGUGUAGGAAUCUGCCUGGUAGUGGGGGAUAACCCGGGGAAACUCGGGCUAAUACCGCAUACGCCCUACGGGGGAAAGCGGGGGAUCUUCGGACCUCGCGUUAUCAGAUGAGCCUGCGUCCGAUUAGCUAGUUGGUGAGGUAAUGGCUCACCAAGGCGACGAUCGGUAGCUGGUCUGAGGGGACGAUCAGCCACACUGGGACUGAGACACGGCCCAGACUCCUACGGGAGGCAGCAGUGGGGAAUAUUGGACAAUGGGCGCAAGCCUGAUCCAGCAAUGCCGCGUGUGUGAAGAAGGCCUGCGGGUUGUAAAGCACUUUCAGUGGGGAGGANNAGCUCAAUGUUAAUACCAUUGGGUCUGACGUAACCCACAGAAGAAGCACCGGCAAUC